UGAGGAAUAUUGGUCAAUGGGCGAAAGCCUGAACCAGCCAUGCCGCGUGAAGGAAUAAGGCCCUAUGGGUCGUAAACUUCUUUUGUAUCGGAGCAAUAAGGGUCACGAGUGAUCCGAUGAGAUUACGAUACGAAUAAGCAUCGGCUAACUCCGUGCCAGCAGCCGCGGUAAUACGGAGGGUGCAAGCGUUAAUCGGAAUAACUGGGCGUAAAGGGCAUGCAGGCGGUUCAUCAAGUAGGAUGUGAAAUCCCCGGGCUCAACCUGGGAACAGCAUACUAAACUGGUGGACUAGAGUAUUGCAGGGGGAGACGGAAUUCCAGGUGUAGCGGUGGAAUGCGUAGAUAUCUGGAAGAACACCAAAGGCGAAGGCAGUCUCCUGGGCAAAUACUGACGCUCAUAUGCGAAAGCGU
rnacentral:rRNA from 1 species